rnacentral:rRNA from 1 species
CAGCAGCCGCGGGAAUACGUAGGUGGCAAGCGUUGUCCGGAAUUAUUGGGCGUAAAGGGCUCGCAGGCGGUUUCUUAAGUCUGAUGUGAAAGCCCCCGGCUCAACCGGGGAGGGUCAUUGGAAACUGGGAAACUUGAGCGCAGAAGAGGAGAGUGGAAUUCCACGUGUAGCGGUGAAAUGCGUAGAGGUGUGGAGGAACGCCAGUGGCGAAGGCGACUCUCUGGUCUGUAACUGACGCUGAGGAGCGAAAGCGUGGGGAGCGAACAGGAUUAGAUACCCCAGUAGUCCCUGUCUCUUAUAC